UGAACAGGGGAGUUAUUGGAAAUUAAAUCCCAAGUAUCAUCCUCUAAGCCUGUCUCUGCUGGAGCCAAAACCACAGCAAAAGUACCAAAGACAACAAGAUGGAUUGUCUGUCCGGCAUUCAAAGAGCUUCAGCGUGUUCUAAAGAUCCCACAAAAUCCACUUGAGUGGUCAGUAGCUCAUGUAC